ACAACCACCUGUAGUUCGCUCUCCUUUUACAGCACAAGAUUUCCUGGAUUACUUUGGGAAGAAAAUAGAAGACAUCAGGUUAAACAUAUUCCGGCAUGCCUUAACCGAGCCACUACACCCUCCUAUUGAGGUGGCCACCACAGAAUUU